GUUAGCAGUUGUUGAAACCACAGAGAUGGUUCUCUUCUUUUGACAAGCAUGUUUUCUUUAUGUUUUCAGACAGUCGUUGUCUAUGUUAUUAAUAUGGAGAUUUUGUCAGAAUAUUUGUUUUCUUGUACCUGAUUUGUGUUACAUGAGUAGCCUUUUUGUUUUGUUUCUUUUUCCGUAUAAUGGGUAUUCAAAUUCCUUAUUAAUUUUAGGAAGAUAUACCUGCUAAUAUGUGUAAAAUUUUGGAAUAAAAGCAGGAUAGAGAAUUAUUAUUUCAGCAUCUGAACCCCAUCAUUAUUUACUUGUAUGUUCAAAUCUCUGAAUCAUUUAACAGGACACAUUUGUGGCCGUUCAUUUAACUUUUUUUAACUGUGUUGUAGAUUUUUUUUAUUCACUGUUGCCUUUUGGCAUUUUAAGAGCGUAGAAAUUUCAGUUGUGUAGUGAAACUUCCCUGAUUCCUCAUGUCAGACUGUAGUUGAACUGUAGAGACCUGGAGGUAGAGUGUGUGCUCUUCUGACAAGUGUCAGGAGAGACAUGUGCAAAGAAUGGAGGAAUCCAUUCUUCUAACAGUCACCCUGCUGUGAUAACAAGAGUGAACAGCUUUAUGCAAGAGGUUUCCAGCCUGAUCCUGACAGGUGCAUCAUUUCUUGGUGGGAAAUGAUUGUUAUUCCAAGGAACAGACUAUAUGAAGUCAUUGUUCCCCAAAGUAACAAAAUCUGUGCCUCCAUGUUUUAGAAUAGAGCAUGCAUGCAAUGUAAGCUUCACUGUAAUACACUGAAUUCAUGCACAAAGUUUUCUACUUGCUGCUUCAAAACUCUGAUCUCUGGAAUUAAAAAAAAAAUUUGAUCAAAUGUGCCUAUAUAAGAGCUUCUGUCCAGUUGCUUUAAAUUACCUGCUAGUGCCUUUAAGUGUUGUUCUAAAAACAAAAAUAAAUAAUCAUUCAGGCUUUCAUUGUAAAACAUGUUUUAUAGCUUAAAGCACUUAAUGUUUUUUCACUUUUCUUUUGACAGACUGGUUUCAUUUAGUUCUCUAUUCUUUUCUGUAGUGCCUAGUAAUUAUCUUCUCACAUGGUGCUUUUUAACAGGAUGUUAAAAUUUCUUCCUAUUCAGUAGAUCUGGAAUUCCUUCAAGGAAGUGUGUACUUAUACCUUGUAUUGCAGAAAAGAAAUGGAAAUCAGCUAGAGAGAAAGUCUGGAAUCCCAGAGAGAAAUGUAGGAGAGUAACGCUACCCAUAGCUUUAUUCAUGUGUUCAUAUUUGGUGUAAGAUAUCCUUUCCUGUAGCCUUAGAUGUAACCUAACUUGAUGUUACACAUUUGAAAUUAUGCCUUUUGUAACAUUUUUACAUUGUAAAGCUCACAGACAUUCACAGUUUGAACAAUAUUGCCAAGACAUACCGAAUGUUAGCUCUAAAUUCCUGUCAUUUUGUCAGUCUUGGUGUUUUUGGCCCCAGCACAAGCCACUAACUCAAGCCAGCUCCAACACAAUACUGGAAUUAUGUGUUUGAAAGGAAAACCAUACUUGGAGGCAAUGGGUGUAAUUUAAGUUCACAGAAGAAAACCAUAUAUUUUGUGUAGUUGUUUGUAUAGCCAUAUAAACACGAACUAUACCAUUGGGGUGGUAGGAGGGGGAACUAAAAUGAAACAUUUAUGUAAGCCUGUGGAUCUAUGGCAACAAAUUCUCUGUCCUUCUAGUACAGCUAAAUAAUUCUAAAGAUGAAGGAAAGAUUUAAAAGUGAGGGUCUUGGACUAUUCUUGUGAUGGAAAAUGCUGAAUUUAAUUGAUAAAGAGUUCUUGUUUAUGCAGCAAAAGAAUAAAAAUCAGAAUGCAGUUUAGUCUUUUAUCCAUUUUUAAUGUUGAUUUGUGUAUUUACUCUAAAAUUUACAGUGCUCAGUGAUACCCCAGAUGAGCAGGAACUUGAAUGUGAAGAUACUGAUUUUGCUGAAUCUGUUUGAAAAAAGAAGCAAAGAAAUGCCACUGAACAAGACAUUGAUGUUUCAGUGUAACCCCCAGAGUAGCUCCAGCUUUUGUGUCGUCCAUAUGAAACUGUAUCCAAGACUGUGAAAUAGUGGGGGGGUUUGUUAGGGGUCACCUCACUGUGAGCACCCCUCUUAAAAAAUCUGUGACCAGCCCUUCACUGUGACUCCCCAACACAAGUGGAGAUGCUAUACAGUUAUGUUGCAUCCAUAACAUAUAACACUGCAUAUUUUCUGAAAAUUUAGACAUUUCAGAGAAUUGAAAUUAAUUUUGCAUUAAUGUAUGUCAGAUGAUGGCAGAAGAUUUUCUUGGAAAAAUUUAUUGGAAAAGGAUAUGUUCUUGAGAUCUGGACAUCAACUUCUAUUAAAUGUAAUGGCAUGAUAAACAGAAUUCCUGAGUAAUGUGUACACAUUCUCUGAGAUGGAUAUUAGUUUGAGGGAAAAAGAAUAAACUCAGAUGCAGAAAACUUCAUGGGACACUGCCACAUGAAGAUGUAGUCAUUCUCAGAUACCAUGAGCUUCAUUCACUCUAUUUGAGGACUGCAAGCAUGGAUCUUUUUCAUAUCUUGUUCCUUUCAUUGCUGAUUGUGUGGAAGUGGCAUCCAUGAAAUUUGAAGCAAUAAGUGCAUGACUAAGCAAGAGGAUGGAUGAAAAAGAGACUGUAUAGUCAAAACACCUAACAUAAAAAGAAUACUGUCCUCUGAAGUCUGCUCUGACAGUUCACUGGCUGAUUUUUUCAAGAAUGUGCAAAAUAUUUUGGAUCUCAAAGAAGAGCAUCCCAUCUGUCCUAUAACAGCUUUUUCAACAGGUUUUUGAUUCACAAGAUGAUAGUGCAGUAAUUGGAAAGCUCAAAGGAACAGUGGAAGCCCUCCAUGCGCUGCCCUCAGUCGAGAGGGGAAUGCAAAGAUGACUAUGAGGCAUGAAAGGAAGUUUGCCUACAGAAGAUCCUUCUCCCAGUGUAAAUACAUGCUUGAUAGUGCAUCAAAGAUGAGAUCUUUGUAAUUCCUACAGUAUAUUUAAUGUAUAAUUUAUAUGAAAAGGACGCUUGAUUUGUAGUUGUAAAGUUUUGUAUACUUUUCAGUCUGUUUGUUUUUAUAUUUUCCCCCUAGGCUAAGAAUAUCUCCACAAUGGACAACGUCUUGUAAAUAAUUAAUACCUACAUGAUUUAGCAAUGUGCUUUAUUUGCAUUUUUAAGAUUUUUUCCUACAUAAAACAGUAAUAAAAAUGCAAGUCAAAAUUUUAAUUUUUAAUAAAAAAACCAUAAGCCUUAGAAAACUGAUUAAAAAUACUUUUAUGUUAUCCCUAAUCACCCCGCUAAAUGGAAUGCCUGUGAUUAGCCUCAUUAAGAAUUUUAUACUGUGAAGAUUUUAUUAAAAGCAAUAUAUGAAAAUUA